UGCAGUCGAACGCGAAAGGGCGCUUUUGUGCCUGAGUAGAGUGGCGCACGGGUGAGUAACACGUAGACAACCUGCCUUCGGGUUCGGGAUAACCUUUCGAAAGAAGGGCUAAUACCGGAUAAGACUCUCGCUUCGCAUGGGGCGGGGUUAAAAGGGGUUUCCUGCCAGGAGAGGGGUCUGCGGGACAUUAGCUUGUUGGUGGGGUAACGGCCUACCAAGGCGAUGAUGUCUAGCGGGUCUGAGAGGAUGAUCCGCCACACUGGAACUGAGAUACGGUCCAGACUCCUACGGGAGGCAGCAGUGGGGAAUUUUGCGCAAUGGGCGAAAGCCUGACGCAGCAACGCCGCGUGGGUGAAGAAGGCCUUUGGGUCGUAAAGCCCUUUUCUGGGGAAAGAGCAAAGACGGUACCCCAGGAACAAGCACCGGCUAACUCCGUGCCAGCAGCCGCGGUAAUACGGAGGGUGCAAGCGUUGUUCGGAAUUACUGGGCGUAAAGGGCGUGUAGGCGGAUUUGCAAGCUGGGGGUGAAAGGCCAGGGCUCAACCCGGGACCAUCUCCCAGAACUGCGUAUCUAGAGAGAGUCAGAGGCAGGUGGAAUUCCUGGUGUAGAGGUGAAAUUCGUAGAGAUCAGGAGGAACACCGGCGGCGAAGGCGACCUGCUGGGGCUUUUCUGACGCUGAGGCGCGAAAGCGUGGGGAGCAAACAGGAUUAGAUACCCUGGUAGUCCACGCUGCAAACGAUGAGCACUCGAUGUGCGAGGUUUACGACCCCUCGCAUGUCACAGCU
rnacentral:rRNA from 1 species